rnacentral:rRNA from 1 species
GACGAAUGCUGGCUGCGUGCUUAACACAUGCAAGUCGAACGGUGAAGGAGGGCUUGCCCUCCGGAUCAGUGGCGAACGGGUGAGUAACACGUGGGCAACCUGCCCCUCACUCUGGGAUAACGCCGGGAAACCGGCGCUAAUACCGGAUACGACCAGGCGCGACAUCUCGCCUGGUGGAAAGAAUUUCGGUGAGGGAUGGGCCCGCGGCCUAUCAGCUAGUUGGUGGGGUAACGGCCCACCAAGGCGACGACGGGUAGCCGGCCUGAGAGGGCGACCGGCCACACUGGGACUGGGACACGGCCCAGACUCCUACGGGAGGCAGCAGUGGGGAAUAUUGCGCAAUGGGCGAAAGCCUGAUGCAGCGACGCCGCGUGAGUGAUGAAGUAUUUCGGUAUGUAAAGCUCUAUCAGCAGGGAAGAAAAUGACGGUACCUGACUAAGAAGCUCCGGCUAAAUACGUGCCAGCCGCCGCGGUAAUAC